rnacentral:rRNA from 1 species
UACAGAGGUCUCAAGCGUUGUUCGGAUUCAUUGGGCGUAAAGGGUGCGUAGGUGGCGCUGUAAGUCAGGUGUGAAAUUUCGAGGCUUAACCUCGAAACUGCAUUUGAUACUGCGGUGCUUGAGGACUGGAGAGGAGACUGGAAUUUACGGUGUAGCAGUGAAAUGCGUAGAGAUCGUAAGGAAGACCAGUGGCGAAGGCGGCAUCCUGGACUGGUCCUGACACUCAGGAGCGAAAGCGUGGGGAGCGAUCCGG